GCGAUCGAAAGCAUGCGCCGCCUGCCGGCAGCGUUUGCUUUUUCUCGCGAGGGGAGACGUGCGACAUUUACUUGAAUCUAUGGUAAAGGACCCUCAUUUUUCAGCUGUUCCAAGAAGAAUGCUACCAAGCCACUGACAAGAGAAAGUAAAAGCUAUCCUGGCAAGCUUUAAAGAUCAUGGACUUUCUGAAGUGUGGUUCAUGUGGCACCAUUUUCCAUGAGCUUGACACCG